rfam:Dipodomys ordii contig_24683, whole genome shotgun sequence.
GUGAAGGUGGCUCAGUGGUAGAAUGCUUGCCUUGCAUGCAUGAGACCCUAGGUUCCAUUCCUUGGCACCACA